rnacentral:rRNA from 1 species
GGGGGCUUGCUCCCGGAUUCAGCGGCGGACGGGUGAGUAACGCGUAGGAAUCUACCUAGUAGUGGGGGAUAACGUUUCGAAAGGAACGCUAAUACCGCAUACGUUCUGAGGAAGAAAGCAGGGGAUCGCAAGACCUUGCGCUAUUAGAUGAGCCUGCGUCCGAUUAGCUAGUUGGUAGGGUAAAGGCCUACCAAGGCGACGAUCGGUAACUGGUCUGAGAGGAUGAUCAGUCACACUGGAACUGAGACACGGUCCAGACUCCUACGGGAGGCAGCAGUGGGGAAUAUAGGACAAUGGGGGCAACCCUGAUCCAGCCAUGCCGCGUGUGUGAAGAAGGCCUUCGGGUUGUAAAGCACUUUAAGCGGGGAGGAAGGCUCUAUGGCUAAUAUCCAUGGGGAUUGACGUUACCCGCAGAAUAAGCACCGGCAAACUUCGUGCCAGCAGCCGCGGUAAUACGAAGGGUGCGAGCGUUAAUCGGAAUUACUGGGCGUAAAGCGCGCGUAGGUGGUUUGAUAAGCGAUAUGUGAAAUCCCCGGGCUCAACCUGGGAACUGCAUGUCGAACUGUCAGGCUAGAGUAUGGUAGAGGGGUGUGGAAUUUCCUGUGUAGCGGUGAAAUGCGUAGAUAUAGGAAGGAACAUCAGUGGCGAAGGCGACACCCUGGACCGAUACUGACACUGAGGCGCGAAAGCGUGGGUAGCGAACAGGAUUAGAUACCCUGGUAGUCCACGCCGUAAACGAUGUCAACUAGCCGUUGGAGGGCCUGUCCCUUC